GUCGGACGGGAUUGAGGAGCUUGCUCUUCAUGAGAGUGGCGCACGGGUGCGUAACACGUAUGUAACCUACCCAUAUCAGGGGGAUAGCCUCUCGAAAGAGAGAUUAAGCCCGCAUAAAAUCACAGCACAGCAUUGUGUAAUGAUCAAAUAUUUAUAGGAUAUGGAUGGGCAUGCGGAACAUUAGCUAGUUGGUAAGGUAACGGCUUACCAAGGCUACGAUGUUUAGGGGAUCUGAGAGGAUGACCC
rnacentral:rRNA from 1 species